rnacentral:rRNA from 1 species
GGGUCAGUAGGUUGGUCGUGCCACCGGUACGUACUGGUCUCACUGAUUCCUCCUUCCUGAAGAACCGUAAUGCCAUUAAUUUGGUGUUGCGGGGAAACAGGACUGUUACUUUGAAAAAAUUAGAGUGUUUAAAGCAAGCUAACGCCUGAAUACAUUAGCAUGGAAUAAUGGAAUAGGACGAUCGAUCCUAUUUUGUUGGUUUCUAGGAUUGACGUA